rnacentral:rRNA from 1 species
GACAGAGGAUGCAAGCGUUAUCCGGAAUUAUUGGGCGUAAAGGGUCCUGAGGUGGCUAGCCAAGUCUAUUGUGAAAUAUCAGGGCUUAACCCUGAACAUGCGGUGGAAACUAGAAAGCUUGAGUACAAGUAGGGGCGGAGGGAAUUUCCGGUGGAGCGGUGAAAUGCGUAGAGAUCGGAAAGAACACCAACGGCGAAAGCACUCUGCUGGGCCGACACUGACACUGGAGAGACGAAAGCUAGGGGAGCGAAUGGG